rnacentral:lncRNA from 1 species
AUGCAUGAUUUCGUUUAUUAUUUGUUUUUGGCUUUGAACUAGCUGUUAAUAACUGGAAAAACUCUCAGAUAUGUACCAGGCCACGUACACUCUGUGUUUUAGCAAGGUGUAUUUCUAUUUGUAUCUCAUGAUCUGAGUUAAGUCAGGCUUAAGUCUUUUUCAACUGAUUUUUAUAGUUCGCUCUUAUGUUGUACUGUUACACCACUGUCAAAGUUACAUGUUUAACGCCGCCACAUUAUGUAUGUAUAUGUGCCUAUCCCAAGUCAGGAAACUGUAAAUUAAUUCAGUGGUUCUCGUUUGUUGCUGUGUUACAUAUUUGUUUUUCGUUCAUAUUUUGUACAUAAAUUAGGCCGUCAGUUUUCUUGUUUGAAAUUUGUUAGCACUUGACAUUUCGGAGACUUUUAAAGCGGACUAUGCGGGAUGGGCUUUGUUCAAUGUUGAAGGCCGUACGGUGGUCUAUUAUAGUUGUUUAUUUCUGUGUCAUUUGGUCUCAUGUUGAGAACACAUGCACUUGCCUCAGACAAGUGCCUGUGGUGGAGAGUUGUCUCAUUGGCAAUUAUGUCAUAUCUUCCUUUUUAUAUUGGUGUUUUUCAUCGACGACAGAAUAGGCAAAUAUGUCUUAUUUAUCAAUAAAUUGUCAGUUACUUUUAUUUGGAAUGCAUUUCAAGAAAAAAGUCUCAAGUUGUUGAUAAAAUAAAAACAUGAGAAGAGUGUCCUUUUCUCACUGAGUCAAUGCAAAAUCUCAGGUUUCCAAUCAUCAAAACAAAAUCUUUUGAUGAAACGACUGAAAUUUAUUGUUUAAUAUUUAAUGUCUAAUUUCAAAAUCAUGCAAGAAAUAAUUAUACAAUGAAAUUAACACAAAUUUGACACGUUAACGAAUAUAGAUAAGAAACAAAAGAAUAAUACCAAUACCAAUCACAAACGCAAAUCUAUAUUUAGAAUAUUAAAGUCAUGUCAACUCAGUUCGUUUAAGGUCUGUUUGAUUCAUUCUCUUAUGUACCACUAAAUAAUUUCAUAGGGAAUCAUAAACAAAGUGUUCUAGAAACGUUGAAAUCGUUAUCAAAUAAAACGUGAAGCUAGUUUUUUUGCUGAUAUGCAUUUCAAUUCUUUUGAUGUUAUCAUGAUGAAUGAAAUGACCUCAUUCAUUAAAUGAUUUCUCCAAAACAGCACCAACCGUUGAGUUACGUACCAACCGUACCAGAUACGUAGCAAAUCGGGAAACCUCUAGUAGAAGAGUACCGACGGACUUAAAUAUCAAAAUACGCAUGAACUUUGAGAAAUGGCUUAUUUUGAAUAAUUGAACGGACUGCCUUAACCCAUCUGCUCAUAUUAUACACCAAAUUAAAGCCUAUUAGCAGCCGAUCAAAAUAGCAGCCACUUCAGUUUUUCAAAAUUUGAAUAUCGAAAAAGGAAAUCGAAACCGAAUAAGGAAAUGAAAAUCGAAAAAGGAAAAAGAAAACGAAUAAGGAAACGAAAAAAAGUCUUCUGAAAAAAAAUUUGAGAAAAAAAAAAAUUUUGAAAGAAAAAAAUAUUCAGUUUGGAAUUGUAAUAUUUUUUUAAAAUUUGAAUAUCGAAAAAGGAAAUGGAAACUGAAUAAGGAAAUAGAAACCGAAUAAGGAAAUGAAAAUCGAAUAAGGAAAAAGAAACCGAAUAAGGAAUGAUAAUCGAAAAUGGAAAAAGAAAACGAAUAAGGAAACGAAAAAAAAUUUUGAAGAAAAACUUUUCGAGGAAAAAUAUUUUGAGGGAAAAAAAAUUUUGAGGAAAAAAAAAUUGAGGAAAAAAAAUUUGAGGAAAAAAAAAUUUGAGGAAAAAAAAAUUUUGAGGAAAAAAAAAAUUUGAGGAAAAAAAAUUUUGAAGGAAAAAAAAAAUUCAGUUUGGACUUGUAAUAUUUUUCAAAAUUUGAAUAUCGAAAAAGGAAAUGGAAACCGAAUAAGGAAAUGAAAAUCGAAAAAGGAAAUAGAAACCGAAUAAGGAAAUAGAAACCGAAAAAGGUAAUGAAUAUUGAAAAAGGAAAAAGAAACCGAAUAAGGAAAAAGGAACCGAAUAAGGAAAAAGAAACCGAAUAAGGAAAUGGAAAUUGAAUAAGGAAAUGAAAAUCCAAUAAGGAAAUAGAAACCGAAUAAGGAACUAGAAACCGAAAAAGGAAAUGAAUAUUGAAAAAGGAAAAAGAAACCGAAUUAGGAAAUGAAAAUCGAAUAAGGAAAUGGAAAUCGAAUAAGGAAACGAAAAUCCAAUUAGGAAAUAGAAACUGAAUAAGGAAAUAGAAACCGAAAAAGGAAAUGAAUAUUGAAAAAGGAAAAAGAAACCGAAUAAGGAAAUGAAAAUCGAAUAAGGAAAUGGAAAUCGAAUAAGGAAAUGAAAAUCCAAUAAGGAAAUAGAAACUGAAUAAGGAAAUAGAAACCGAAUAAGGAAAUGAAUAUUGAAAAAGGAAAGAAGAAACCGAAUAAGGAAAAGAAAAUCGAAAAAGGAAAUGAAAAUCGAAUAAGGAAAUGGAAAUCGAAUAAGGAUGAUAAUCGAAAAAGGAAAAAGAAAACGAAUAAGGAAAUGAAAAAAAAAUUAGAAGAAAAACUUUUUGAGGAAAAAUAUUUUGAGGAAAAAAAAAUUUGAGGAAAAAAAAUUUUGAGGAAAAAAAAAUUUGAGAAAAAAAAAUUUGAGAAAAAAAAUUUUGAG